rnacentral:rRNA from 1 species
UCCUCAGCCAUGAGGGGGCGCGGCGCACGGCUCAGUAACAUGUGGUUAACCUACCCUCAGGACGGGGAUACCCUCGGGAAACUGAGGCUAAUCCCCGAUAGAUGAGGGACCCUGGAAUGGUUCCUCAUCCAAAAGGCACGCAUAUCAUGCUAUGCGUGUCGCCUGAGGAUGGGACCGCAUCCUAUCAGGUAGUUGGUGGGGUAACGGCCCACCAAGCCUAUAACGGGUACGGGCCCUGAGAGGGGGAGCCCGGAGAUGGGUACUGAGACAAGGACCCAGGCCCUACGGGGCGCAGCAGGCGCGAAACCUCCGCAAUGCGCGAAAGCGCGACGGGGCCACCCCGAGUGCCAUCCGCUGAGGGUGGCUUUUCCCUAGUGUAGUAAGCUAGGGGAAUAAGCGGGGGGCAAGUCUGGUGUCAGCCGCCGCGGUAAUACCAGCUCCGCGAGUGGUCGGGACGAUUAUUGGGCCUAAAGCGUCCGUAGCCGGCCUAACAAGUCUCUGGUUAAAUCUCAAGGCUUAACCUUGAGAUCGCUGGAGAUACUGUUAGGCUAGGGGGCGGGAGAGGUUGAGGGUACUUCGCGGGUAGGGGCGAAAUCCUAUAAUCCGCGAAGACCACCAAUGGCGGAGGCACUCGGCCAGAACGCGCCCGACGGUGAGGGACGAAAGCCAGGGGAGCAAAAGGGAUUAGAGACCCCUGUAGUCCUGGCUGUAAACGAUGCGGGCUAGGUGUUGGCUGAGCUUCGGGCUCAGCCAGUGCCGCAGGGAAGCCGUUAAGCCCGCCGCCUGGGGAGUACGGCCGCAAGGCUGAAACUUAAAGGAAUUGGCGGGGGAGCACCACAAGGGGUGGAGGCUGCGGUUCAAUUGGAGUCAACCCCGGGAACCUUACCAGGGGCGACAGCAGGAUGAGGGCCAGGCUAACGACCUUGCCCGACGCGCUGAGAGGAGGUGCAUGGCCGUCGCCAGCUCGUGCCGUGAGGCGUCCGGUUAAGUCCGGUAACGAGCGAGACCCUCGUCUCCAGUUGCGACCAGGACCCAUUGGGUCCUGGGCACACUGGAGAGACUGCCAGCGCUAAGCUGGAGGAAGGAGGGGGCUACGGCAGGUCAGUAUGCCCCGAAACCCNUGGGCUACACGCGGCCUGCAAUGGUGGGGACAAUGGGUUCCGAACCCGAAAGGGGGAGGUAAUCCCAUAAAACCCCACCUCAGUUGGGAUCGAGGGCUGCAACUCGCCCUCGUGAACGUGGAUCCCUAGUAACCGCG